GAUGAACGCUAGCUACAGGCUUAACACAUGCAAGUCGAGGGGUAACAAGAGAAAAGCUUGCUUUUCUUGUUGACGACCGGCGCACGGGUGAGUAACGCGUAUCCAACCUGCCUAUAACUAGGGAAUAACCUUGCGAAAGUAAGACUAAUACCCUAUGAUUUCCUUUGAUGACAUCAGAUUAGGAAUAAAGAUUUAUCGGUUAUAGAUGGGGACGCGUCUGAUUAGCUUGUUGGCGGGGUAACGGCCCACCAAGGCAACGAUCAGUAGGGGUUCUGAGAGGAAGGUCCCCCACAUUGGAACUGAGACACGGUCCAAACUCCUACGGGAGGCAGCAGUGAGGAAUAUUGGUCAAUGGGCGGAAGCCUGGACCAGCCAAGUAGCGUGCAGGAUGACGGCCCUAUGGGUUGUAAACUGCUUUUAUACAGGAAUAAAGUUAGCCACGUGUGGUUAUUUGUAGGUACUGUAUGAAUAAGGACCGGCUAAUUCCGUGCCAGCCGCCGCGGUAA
rnacentral:rRNA from 1 species